GUGGGGAAUCUUCCGCAAUGGACGAAAGUCUGACGGAGCAACGCCGCGUGAGUGAAGAAGGUUUUCGGAUCGUAAAGCUCUUUCGUUAGGGACGAACGUGCUCUUUGUGAAUAAUGAGGAGUAAUGACGGUACCUAAAUAAGAAGCCACGGCUAACUACGUGCCAGCAGCCGCGGUAAUACGUAGGUGGCAAGCGUUGUCCGGAAUUAUUGGGCGUAAAGCGCGCGCAGGCGGGAUAUCAAGUCUGUCUUAAAAGUGCGAGGCUCAACCUCGUGAGGGGACGGAAACUGGUAUUCUUGAGUGUCGGAGAGGAAAGUGGAAUUCCAAGUGUAGCGGUGAAAUGCGUAGAGAUUUGGAAGAACACCAGUGGCGAAGGCGACUUUCUGGACGAUGUCUGACGCUGAGGCGCGAAAGCUAGGGGAGCGAACGGGAUUAGAUACCCCAGUAGUCC
rnacentral:rRNA from 1 species